AUAUUGCACAAUGGGGGAAACCCUGAUGCAGCGACGCCGCGUGGAGGAAGAAGGUUUUCGGAUUGUAAACUCCUGUCUUCGGGGACGAUAAUGACGGUACCCGAGGAGGAAGCCACGGCUAACUACGUGCCAGCAGCCGCGGUAAAACGUAGGUGGCAAGCGUUGUCCGGAAUUACUGGGUGUAAAGGGAGCGCAGGCGGGUCGGCAAGUUGGAGGUGAAAGCUGUGGGCUCAACUCACAAACUGCCUUCAAAACUGCCGGUCUUGAGUGGUGUAGAGGUAGGCGGAAUUCCCGGUGUAGCGGUGGAAUGCGUAGAUAUCGGGAGGAACACCAGUGGCGAAGGCGGCCUACUGGGCACUAACUGACGCUGAGGCUCGAAAGCAUGGGUAGC
rnacentral:rRNA from 1 species